AGCUCUCUUACAUCAGAGACAGACUCGUAUCUGUGACUUGGACUCGAGAACAAAGGCUUUAGACUUGACUUGGACUCUAUAAUAAAAAUGGAAGAACGGGGAAAAAACAGGAGAGACUGCAGCGUCUGAAACGUCAUUGAUCUCAGCUGUCAGGCACAAAGAGCUGCGGGAACCAGCAUGUACACAUGUUUGUGUUUUGGUACCACUGAUUGACAGAGGAUGUAGCUCCAAGGUCAUAUUUCCAAAGG